CACAGAAGUGAAAAGAACCUGGAAAAAGUAAGUGAGCACUGUACCCAGCAGAAGCCACAAUUCCAAUGCCUCCAACUACUUUAAAAAGGAAUGAAGAUGCAGGAUGUUGAGCGUUGGCUUUGAAGUGGGGAUAACGGUACUUGCUACCUUCGGAAUUGCUGCUCCAGAGAGCAAAUAAAAUCAAUUCUCUAACAAGAAAAAGAAGCAAAUGACUAUGAGUGGGGUGUGCUUUCUUUUAUCGCUGCUUCAAAAGUACAGAAGAAUGGUCGUUCUGGAUGGAAUUGCUAAUUUUAUACCCUGUUCUUAGCAAAUUCUGCACCACUGCAGGCUGAGGAGGAAGGCUGGUGGGCAGCACACUGAGCCCCUUUUCUUCGGAGACCCCAGGAGAUGAAUUAACAUGACUGUCACCACCCCACAGUAAUAACAACUUGGCCACCCACACCCUGUCCAUAUAUAACUUGACACAGGGCUCAAUCUCCCCACCUUGUUCUUACCAAUCCCAAGCAAGUGAAAUAAAAGGCUUGCUAGAAAUGUGUGAGCUUACUAUUAGCUUGCCAGGCUGCUGAUGGCAUUAGCUUUUCCGAGAAAGGAAGCAAAUUGGAAAGUGCCUUUUGAUUUUUAAAAGAAAUGAACAAUUAUUGUCUUUUUAUAAAAUGUGACCAAACAAUUUUUCCUUAAAUCUUACAAAGACCAACAUUCAACCAGGACUUUUGCCAUUUCAGAUCAUUCUCAAACUCUGGCCAAUUGCAAAGGAAUGUGGUGCUUGGUUUUUAAAGCAUUGCUGAAAUGUUUCUUCAACAUCAAUACCU